UACGGAGGAUCCGAGCGUUAUCCGGAUUUAUUGGGUUUAAAGGGUGCGUAGGCGGCCUUUUAAGUCAGCGGUGAAAGUCUGUGGCUCAACCAUAGAACUGCAUUUGAAACUGUUAUUCUAGAGUAUGGGAGAGGUAGGUGGAAUUCUUGGUGUAGGGGUAAAAUCCGUAGAGAUCAAGAGGAAUACUCAUUGCGAAGGCGACCUGCUAGAACAUAACUGACGCUGAUGCGCGAAAGCGUGGGGAGCAAACAGG
rnacentral:rRNA from 1 species